GAACUCACUUUUGAGCAGCAUCAUUCAAAUUCAUCUUUGGUAACGGUCAGCAGUUUGCCGUAGAAAUAAAAUUUGCGGAUUACUUUUUUUUAAAGAAAUUGUUGACAUCUUUUAAGCGAUAACUACUCCUCCAUUACAAGGUUGUUAUCGAUGUCGAACGGCGGUUCCAAGUUGACGGACAAGAUGCCACUUAUUUUUUCCUGCUAAGUGAUAAUUAUGGCAACAACAAUUAAUUCCGGAACCUUCACCGCAGCCAGCAUGAGGCCGACAAGCCCGAAAACCGAGAACCACUACAUACCAUCCCCAUCAUCCUAGAUCACCACAAUGGAAUGUGUCUUUGCCGAUUUGGAAUUAGUGUAACGAAUCAUUAUUUGUAUAAUUACUUUUAAAUAUAUAAAUAAACAUGUUCUUUCAUUA